UACGGGGGGGGCAAGCGUUGUUCGGAAUUACUGGGCGUAAAGGGCUCGUAGGUGGCCAACUAAGUCAGACGUGAAAUCCCUCAGCUUAACUGGGGAACUGCGUCUGAUACUGGAUGGCUUGAGUUUGGGAGAGGGAUGCGGAAUUCCAGGUGUAGCGGUGAAAUGCGUAGAUAUCUGGAGGAACACCGGUGGCGAAGGCGGCAUCCUGGACCAAUACUGACACUGAGGAGCGAAAGCCAGGGGAGCAAACGGG
rnacentral:rRNA from 2 species